GGGGAUAAAUUAAUAGUUAAAUAAUAAUAAAAAAAAUUUUAAAUUAGAUUAUAUUAAUAUUUUAAUGGGGGGGGUUAAAGUAUAAAAAUAGAAAUAAUUAAAAAUUUUAUAGGGAAUUAGUAUUGUAAAAUAAAUUUUAAAUAAUUGAAAUAUUAAAUUAUUUUAAAGUAAUUUUAAUUUAGUGUAUCUUGUGUAUCAGAGUUUAUUAAAUAAUUUUUUUAUAUAAAAAUUCUCGAAUUUGAAAGAGAUAAUUAACUAAAAAAGUUAUUGUUGCAUAAAUAUUUUUAAUAGUUAAUUUGAAAUGAAAUGUUAAUCGUUUUCAAAGAUAUCUAGUUUUUUUAGAAAAAAAUUUAAUUUUAAAUUUAUAUGAAAUAUAAAAUUAAUUAGUUAAUUAAUUUAUUAAAUAAAUUUUAUAUUUUAAGGGAUAAGCUUUAAAAUAAAUUUAAUAUAAUAAUAAAUUAAGUAAAAUUUAAAAAUUAUAUAAUUUAUAUUGUUAAAAAAUUAUAAUUUACUAUAAAUAAUUUUAAAUUAAGAUAAAAUUUAAUUGGUAUAAUUUAUUUUUUUUUUAUAAAAAAAAUAAUUUUAAAUAAAAUAAAAUUAGUUAUAAUGAUAAAAUUAGUAUAUUUAUAAAUUAAUUCUUAAAAUAAAAAAAAAAUUAUUUUAAAGGAAUUCGGCAAAAAUUUAUAUUCACUUGUUUAUCAAAAACAUGUCUUUUUGAAAAUAAUAUAAAGUCUAAUCUGCCCACUGAUUUUAAUUAAAGGGCUGCAGUAUUUUGACUGUACAAAGGUAGCAUAAUCAUUAGUCAUUUAAUUGAUGACUUGUAUGAAAGAUUGGAUGAGAUAUAAGCUGUCUCUAAAAUAUAAUAUAUAAUUUAAUUUUUAAUUUAAAAAGUUUAAAUAAAUUAAAAAGACGAGAAGACCCUAUAGAGUUUUAUUUAUAAAUAAAUUAUAAUUAUUUAUAAAUUUAAAAUUUAUAAUUUAUUUAUAAAUUUUAUUGGGGUGAUGGGAAAAUAUAAUUAACUUUUUUUUUUAUUUAACAUAAAUAAAUGAUUUAUUGAUCCAAUUUUAUUGAUUAUAAGAAAAAAUUACCUUAGGGAUAACAGCGUAAUUUAUUUUUUUAGUUCAUAUAAAAAAAUAAGUUUGCGACCUCGAUGUUGGAUUAAGAUAAAAAUUAAAUGCAAAAGUUUAAAGUUUUGAUCUGUUCGAUCAUUAAAAUCUUACAUGAUCUGAGUUCAAACCGGUGUGAGCCAGGUUGGUUUCUAUCUUUUAAAAAAAGAAAAUAUUUUAGUACGAAAGGAUCAAAUAUUUAAAUUAAAUUUAUUUUUUGAAUUUUAUUAAAAUAAUAUAUAUAUAUAUAUAUAUAUAUAUAUAUAUAAAUAUAAGUAAUUAGGUAUUUAAAUAGA
rnacentral:rRNA from 1 species